rnacentral:rRNA from 1 species
GAUGAACGCUGGCGGCGUGCCUAAUACAUGCAAGUCGAGCGAACGGACGCGACGCUUGCUUUUCUGAUGUUAGCGGCGGACGGGUGAGUAACACGUGGAAACCCUACCUAUAAGACUGGGAUAACUUCGGGAAACCGGAGCUAAUACCGUAUAAUAUUUUGAACCGCAUGGUUCAAAAGUGAAAGACGGUCUUGCUGUCACUUAUAGAUGGAUCCGCGCUGCAUUAGCUAGUUGGUCAGGUAACGGCCUACCAAGGCGACGAUGCAUAGCCGACGUGAGUGGGUGGUCGGCCACACGGGAACUGGAACACGGUCCAGACGCCUAAGGGAGGCAGCAGUAGGGAAUGUGCCGCAAUGGGCGAAAGCCUGACGGAGCAACGCCGCGUGAGUGAUGAAGGUCUUCGGAUCGUAAAACUCUGUUAUUAGGGAAGAACAUAUGUGUAAGGAACUGUGCACAUCUUGACGGUAACUAAUCAGAAAGCCACGGCUAACUACGUG